CUUAACCUCUCGAUGCCUCAUUAUUUCCCCCUAGAAAAUACUUUCACUAUUUGUCCUUGAAUUAAGCAAUGAAGAAGACAACUUUCUACACUUAGAGUAAAUGCAAACAAUUACUUUUCUGGGUCCUCACUGAUUUUUCCAUUUAUCUGCUUCACCUCUCCUCUCUUUCCUUUCUGUUUUCUUCUCUCUCUUUCUCUCUUUCCUUUUCUUUCCCUUUAAUUCUGGCCCCAAAGUAUGGGCUUGGCCAGAGGAAAUACUCAGAAUGAAGGAUUGCAUCUUCCGACCAGAAGCAGGUGCUGAGGAUGGAUAUGACAUCAAAACAGAAGGGUUGAUAGGGAGGAUCAUUAACCAUCAGAGAAAUUGCUAACUGCCCUGGAACACAGCACAUUCUUGGGUGAAAAGUCACUUGAAUGCCUGUUGGAGCCAUCACUAUGGAUUGCCGGCUAUUCUGACUUGGAGUUUGAGGCUGACAUCUGAAACCACAGAAUAGAAACAAUUUUGUGCCAGUUGGAAAAAAAAACUAUUAUGAUUUGAUAGAGGACUAAGAAGAAAUACCAGAGAAGUAGGAGGAAACCCAGAGGGAGAAUUCAUUCCCACAGAAACCAAGGAAAAAGAACAUUUCAAGAAAGACGUAAAGGGAAAUACCAAUUAUUUUGAUGGAAAUUAUUUGAAGGCAUUGGAAUACAAAUCUGUGUGAAGUGAGUUAAAUCUCCGCAAGGCCAAGAUACACUGUGUUUAAUUACACCUUCAUGGAAACUCAAUUAUAUCCUUCUUGCUGAUAGAAAACUGAAUUCCUUAAAAAUUAAAUGAAUUAAAAUUUGUGUAUGACAGGACUAUUAUACCCAUAACAGUUCCACUGCAAGUACAUGAGACUGUCAUGGCAAUAACUGAAAAACUAAAGGAGAUGUCUAUGUAGACAGCUGCUCAUUUACUGCCUGAGGCUCAGAAUCAAUCAUAACUCCAGGUGAACUGAAUCCCUCAGAGCACCAAGGGAAACCUGAGAAGCAUUCCAGGAGACCUCCGUUUGACUGGCUUUUCGGAUAUAUAUAACACAGGCUGAAGUGUGCUGUCAAAACUCAUCAUUUAAGUAUUGUAAACUCCAUUAAAAUAUUCCUUUAAAAGAGAAAGAGCUGCAGACUUGAUACAGGAAGGAUCUCUUCCAUGAUUCUGGGAUUUGGAGCUCAGGUGGUACAACGGUGAUGAAGAUGGAGAUGUGGACGUGGCCAGUGUAAACAUGGUGACUUAGCAGGGAGGACUGAUGAGUGAGGAGAGAGCAGAUGUAAUUGAAAGAGGAGAGGACUAGCCUCAGUACCCUGUGAAACAUUAGCAUUGACUACUGGGCAGGGAAGGAAGAAGCCUCGAAGGGACCUCAGAGGAGUGGUCUCUAUCCCACAGGAGUGUAUACUUUCUUUCCAGUUCUCUUUGGAUCUUUGACAAAGGAAAAUAAAAUCUAUUGUUAAGCAUUAACCAUCUCUCAAGAUAUGUUUUCCAAAAUUGUGUCUUUCCUUUAAAAUAUUCCCCAAUGCCUUCUAUUUAUUUUUUUGGGAAUUUUCUGUGAAUACUUGACCAACAUUUAUUGAGCACCUACUGUAUAGGCCCUAUCACAAGUAACAGUCACUUACACUUGCAUUAUCUCAUAUAAUGUUCACUGUCAAUGUAGAUGGGAAAUUGAUGCCCACACUGACAACGGUCCUGGAUCACAUAGCAGUAGGAAGACAGGGCCAGAAUUUGAACCUGUAUUUUCUGAAUCCUGUGAUCUUUCCACGAUGGUUGGUUGGUAUGGCUAUUUGAUACAUAUAUUGGUCAUAAAAUAUAUGUUCUUAUAUCCUUCUCAAAAGUUUAAGAUUGAUGGCUUGUGCAACCAGUCAUGUUACUACACAGUGAUACUUGAGAGUAUUGUAAAAGGCAUCAAAUAUCUAACCCUCCCAACAGAUGUCUCUCUGGCUUAUGCAGAACCUGUAUGACAAGGGACCAGAGAUAUGUGUUGGGUGAUUAUCCUCUGAACUCAGUCUCUACAAAUUUCAGUGUUUAGA
rnacentral:lncRNA from 10 species